AUGUCCCCCGACGCCGACGCCGGUGAGCCGGCGGCCGCGGCGGCGGGGGCCGGAGGAGGGGCGGCGCGCGGGGUGAUCCGCUGGGACGAGAUCCUGCCGCGCCGCUCGCUCCGGGUGCUCCUCGUCGAGCACGACGACUCCACCCGCCAGGUCGUCACCGCGCUCCUCCGCAAGUGCGGGUACCGCGUGGCGGCGGUGGCGGACGGGAUGAAGGCGUGGGAGGUCAUGCGGGGCCGCGCGUACGCCUUCGACCUCGUGCUCACGGAGGUCAACAUGCCCACGCUCUCCGGAAUCGACCUGCUCUCCAGGAUCGUCGCGGCAGACGAGUGCAAGAACAUCCCCGUUAUAAUGAUGUCAUCCCAAGAUUCCAUUGGCACAGUGCUAAAGUGCAUGCAGAAUGGGGCAGUGGACUUCCUUGUGAAGCCAGUGAGGAAGAAUGAAUUGCGUAAUUUAUGGCAACAUGUGUGGAGGCGGCACUCGAUGAAUAGCCAAUUAAAUGCAUCAGAAAACAAUGCAGCCAGCAACCAUAUAAGUGUGAAUUCUGGUAGCGGGUCGAAGACAGGAGAAAACAGCGACGAGGAAAGUGAUGCUCAGAGCUCUGGAAGCAAAAGGGAGACUGAAAUUCAGAUUGUUGAGAAAUUACCGGAGAUUGUGACACAUAAUGGGGCAAGCUCAUCCAGAGAACUAAAAAUACAGAAUGGGCCUUUUGAUAGAAUAAACACAAAGGCACUUGCAUUAGAGGGUACUGAUGAUGCUCCAAGUGGAAAUGCAUGUGGCACCAGUAAGCCGCAAGUGUUUUCAGCUGAGAAGAAUGUGCAUUCCAAGUAUCUUCAUGGCAUUACUUCUGCAAAGGUUGCUGGACAGAUAAUGGACAACGCCAUGAGGAUUGCUGAUGCAAGUUCAUGUCGUCCAAGUGAUCCUGGCAAAGAUCUUAUGGCUACUGCCCAACCAACAUCUAGCAAAAAAUGCAAAUCUCCAGUCACAAAGAAUAACGCUGUCAAGCCUGUCAUGGAAAAUACCCUUCAUGAAAAUUCAAAGGGUGCUGCGAUCGGCCAUCCCCAGCCUUGCCCCUCUCACUCGCUGGAUGUCAACUUAGGAAAGCAACAACGUUCUGAUGGUCAUGUGAACCAAGAACUGAGGGAUAAGGAUAAUUUUAAUCACUCAAAUUAUUCAGCCUUUUCAAGGUAUGGCAAUAAAAGAAUAGAGCCAUCAGCUAAGCAACUGUCUCUUCCCUCCGUCCACUUAACUUAUCAAGAAUCUGUUUAUGACAAGAAUGUUCAAUCUAGUGGGGCUUUGCCCUCACAUGAACACCAUACAUGCAAGAUUACAAUGCAAGCUCAGGCUCCUUUGGACAGUUGCACAGUGGGUCCUGCCAUCCCGUCUUCAAGCAGUGCAAGAGAAGAUGCUGGCACAAGCAGUUCCUCCCCUAGAAAGGACAAUUUCGGUCAUCCUCCGUAUGGCUUUAUACCUGUUCCAAUUUCUGUUGGUGCUGCUAUACCGUACCAGUACAGUGCAAUUAUGCCGCCGAUAUACUACACACAGCCUUCUUUUAUGCAAUGUGAUCCAUCUGGCAUCAACCAGAUGGGAAUUCAGCAUGCAUAUCAUUCUAGUUACCAUCAAAAUCUUGGUAAACCGUCAGAGAUUGAUGAACACAGACAGCUAGAAGAAAAUCAGCGGUUGCAUCAUUCAAGACAAAUUCUCCAAGAAUCGGGAGAACCUAUUGACUUGUUGAGAGCUCAUGCAGAGCGCAAUAACCAGAGUGCUAGUUGUAGCCAGGAUAUCCGUGGAUGGACUGUGAGCGGUGAAACUGAUACAAACACCAACGCAAUAAUUGCCCCAGAAAGCGGCAAUGAGAGUGGCAUCCAGAACUUCGGUUACAAUGGACUGGAUAGUGAUCGGUCUCGUCGUGAAGCUGCCUUGAUGAAAUUCCGCAUGAAAAGGAAAGAUAGAUGCUUCGAGAAGAAGGUUAGAUAUCACAGCAGGAAGAAGCUUGCGGAGCAAAGGCCAAGAAUCAAAGGGCAGUUUGUGAGCCAAAAACUCAAGUCAGCUACAACAACGGAAGAUGCGGAAACAGACUAG
rnacentral:rRNA from 1 species